rnacentral:rRNA from 1 species
AGGGAGCUGAAAAAUGGCUGCAAGAGGUAGUCAAAUAAAGUGGGAGGAAUAGAUUGGGUAAGUUAGGGAAGGAUACCCUAUCUCGGUUAGCCAAGGGAUCAUUAAGGAAGUCUAACGGGAGUGGCAUUGUAAAUUCGGGGGAAGAUGGGGAAGACGUCAAAUCAUCAUUGGAUUUUUAACAGGGCUUCACACAUGCUGCAGUGGUCGGGACAGAACGACGCGAGGCCGGAAGGUGGGGAGAUCGCAAAAAUAUGGCCCCAGUAGGGAAGCCGGAAGCAACUCGCCAGCAUGAAGAUAAAUAGCUAGUAAUCGUGUAUCAGCUAUGACACGGUAAUGUGUUCCUGAGCCUUGUAAACACCAACCAACAAGGGAUAGGAAUUGGGAGUGCCCGAAGGCUUAUUAAUAAACCGCAAUGGAAGCGUCUACUGACGGUAAGCCCGAUGAGGGCCGUAAAUAGUAACAGGGGUAACC